UAGGGAAUCUUCGGCAAUGGGGGCAACCCUGACCGAGCAACGCCGCGUGAGUGAAGAAGGUUUUCGGAUCGUAAAGCUCUGUUGUAAGUCAAGAACGAGUGUGAGAGUGGAAAGUUCACACUGUGACGGUAGCUUACCAGAAAGGGACGGCUAACUACGUGCCAGCAGCCGCGGUAAUACGUAGGUCCCGAGCGUUGUCCGGAUUUAUUGGGCGUAAAGCGAGCGCAGGCGGUUUGAUAAGUCUGAAGUUAAAGACUGUGGCUCAACCAUAGUUCGCUUUGGAAACUGUCAAACUUGAGUGCAGAAGGGGAGAGUGGAAUUCCAUGUGUAGCGGUGAAAUGCGUAGAUAUAUGGAGGAACACCGGUGGCGAAAGCGGCUCUCUGGUCUGUAACUGACGCUGAGGCUCGAAAGCGUGGGGAGCGAACAGGAUUAGAUACCCUGGUAGUCCACGCCGUAAACGAUGAGUGCUAGGUGUUGGAUCCUUUCCGGGAUUCAGUGCCGCAGCUAACGCAUUAAGCACUCCGCCUGGGGAGUACGACCGCAAGGUUG
rnacentral:rRNA from 1 species